rnacentral:rRNA from 1 species
UACGGAGGGUGCGAGCGUUAUCCGGAAUUACUGGGUUUAAAGGGUGCGUAGGCGGCUAUGUAAGUCAGGCGUGAAAGUUUGCGGCUCAACCGUAAAAUUGCUUUUGAUACUGCAUGGCUAGAAUCAGGAUGAGGUUAGCGGAAUGUGGCAUGUAGCGGUGAAAUGCAUAGAUAUGCCAUAGAACACCAAUUGCGAAGGCAGCUGGCUAGACCUGCAUUGACGCUGAGGCACGAAAGCGUGGGGAGCGAACAGG